rnacentral:lncRNA from 1 species
AAAAUUGUUUACUGCAUUUAACUACGAUGUCUGACGAAAAUGAAAAUCUCAGUAAUGCGGAGACACAGUUAUUGCUGAGAGUACGUUAGAAUAUGGAGGACGAGUUUAAAUCGGGUAGAAG